UUUCAGUACUUCAAUGGUGGAAAUGAUCGUGGAGAAACAGAUCUUCUCGGCUAAAGAUCUUGAGCAGCUUUUGCAGUGUUUUUUGUCACUGAAUUCAUCGAUCAUCAUAAGGUCACCGUUGAAGUUUUCACAGAGAAAUGAUUUCAUGGCCUUUGUUGAUCAUGACCACUGUUGGAUGGUUAAAUUUGGUUCUAUAAAUUUUGCAGGAAGAAGUUCAGUUUUUAAUGAAUCCUGCAGUGAAUAGGCAUCCAAACUUGGUGCAAUUGAUUGGUUAUUGCUGUGAAAAAGAAGUGAGAGGUGUGGUUUAUGACCUUAACCCAAAGGACACCUUGUACAAUUUGACCCUAGCGGGUACAUAUUUACAUAGCAAAAUCCACACAAUUUUUUGAUAUUGUCAAUUUCAUAUUAUUGAAAUCUUUAAUAGAAGGUUUUUGCUAAUGUUAUAGACACCUUGACUUGAGCAAAUAUAGGACAUAUACCUAUUAAAAAAAAAAAAAAUUACCAAGAAAAAUAUUUUAAAAAAACAAUGAUAUAGAUGGAUUAUGGUUAAAAUUUCUUUAUUUUGGAGUAGCAUGUUGAAUAAAAUUGCUUUGUUUUGGAGUAGCACGUUUGAUAUGUAUUAUUACUAUUGGUACAUUUUUUUUUUAACUAGAUAUAACUUUCUAGAAUAGACGAAGAUGGGGGGAAAAAAAAAAACAAAUAUGUUCAUAUUACAUUGUUAGGAGUUAGGACCACCUUUUAUUUGCUAUAGUUUCACCAGAUAAGUUGGGACUUAAUAAAGGAUGAGCAAGGUUGUCUCUGUGUUUGUCUGCCAUGCUUCAUUGGCUAUGCUUAGUGGGUGCUUUACUAAAAUCCAUUUAAUGGUGAAGCAAUAAUAGGGUUUCUUACAUCUCUAUCUCUCAAUAUAAACAAGAAAUCUGUGAGAGUAUCGAAAACCCAAGAAGUAAGUUAAAAAAUAAAAAAUAAAAAAAAAAAUUGGCAGAAUAGAGUAGAGAGAUGCUGUUGAAGAAGGUGGUUUACUAUGAGAAUUGCCCAGGUUGUAAGGUGGAAUAGUACAAAGAGACACAACGUGAUUUACCGAUUCGAGACCUUCUUUUUAUUGGGAUUGUUGUGUUGUGUAAUGGCAUGCUUUUUCUUAUUCUUCUACUGUUUGUUAUUUAUUUAUAUAUCAUUACUAUUUUUUGGCUUUUGGCAUUUCAAAGCAUUGUUGAAUGUUGAUCAUGUUGAUGUUUUGUUUGAUUUAUUGCAUCUGUGAGUGUGUAUUUUGUUCUUUGCUACAUGUUUUCUACUUGUUAGAUUACUGGUGGAUGAAUUUGAUGCUGCAUUUUGGAAGAUUGGCAGAGGUUGACAAGGAAGUAGCAAAAGAAUUUGAUGGAAAACAUUUUCACAUUCUUCCAUCUUCUUGACACUCUGUUUUUGAUAGACAUGCUUUGAAGUAGGAUUGAAUGAAGAUCCAACAAACAUCUUUAACUUUUAUUCAGUUUUGUUCAUCUUUUUGAAGUGCAACUUAUAGCCCUGUUUCUUCUUCUUCUUCUUCAUCCUUUUUUUUUUUUUUUUUUCAAGUUAUUUUAUUUUAUCUGUAAUAGAUUAGACAUUGAUUAUUGUCUUCUUCUUUUUUUCCUUUCCAAACAGAAUUUGGUUGUGCAUCACAAUGAUUUUUUCUUUUUCUUUUUUUCUUAUGGAAAUUAUGCAUAUAUAUAUAUAUAUAUAUAAAGAGUAUAAAACAGGAAUGGAAAAUAAAAAUGAAAUUCAAAAUUUCUUAGGUGGAUUUGCAAUUUUUAUUUAUUUUUUUUAUUUUUGGGUCCAGGUGACAAUUGGAUUGUGUAAAUGCUGGGUUCUAUUGUUUUGAAGGAACAAUUUCAUCUUGGUGCUUGGUUUUUCUAACAAUGUCAGAUCCAUCUAUUAUCGGUCUUGUGAAGCAAAUGUUUAAUGCUGUCUGUUUUGCCAUGUUACUUAGGUCCUACAUGUAAUAAUUUUUUGGUAGAUAUAUCGUAAUUUUUCACUUGAUACCAAUUUCAGUUCUUGCAUUUUAACACGGGAAAUUGUACUAAACUAAACUAGCGUUAGUGGAUGUAUGAAGGUACUAUGUCUAUUUUGUAAUGGGUUGUAUUUGCGCUCUAUGUUUUACAUUUGCUGCAUCUCAGUUUCUGACUUUGGAUGGGAAUCUUUAGCUCGCUAGCUGGUAUCAUAGGGAUUUGUCAUUAUGACAGCUUUAUUUAUGUGGAAAAGUAUAUGAUCUUCUCAUAUUUAGAAAGUUUAGGAAGGAGAUACAUGUAUUUAAAUGUUUCCAAUUCUUAGUGCAUGUGAGUAUGAAAAUCCUAAUUGUUUGGUUUUAUAUUCUUGAAUGAAGUGUUAUGGUAGUAUUCAAAUUGUGUUGACACUAUAUAGGAACAUGCCAUUCACAUUUGUGGAACAGUUGAACUUGAAACAGUACUAAAAUCUUUGGUUUUUCUACUUCUAAAAUUUGAUGCUCUGAAAUGUUGUUUUUUGGAGUUCGCAUUAAGUAUGAACUAAGUUGGGCUAUGUAAUUUGUUUCCUUAUCUAUUAUAUUCUUGAAUGAAGUGUUUGGUAGUGUUUAGGCUGUGUGACGUUGCAUAGGAACUUGGCAACUUACAUAUGUUUUAUGUUUCCAAUUAUUGGUUACUUGAUUCUAAGUUUUUUAGCUUUGUUCUAAGGUGAAUGUCCUUUUUUAAUGGUUCUUGUCCUUGUGAAUAUUUAACUUUUUUGGAAUUGGUGUUUACUCUAUGUAACUUGUUGUUUACUUUAACAGGUUUCCUAAAUUUGUCUAUUAUUAAAUGCAAGAUUUGGGGGUAUUCGGUUGUGUGUUUACAUUGUAUAGGAACUUGGCAUUCAUAGUUUUUGUGCGUUCUCGUUCUGAAAGCUUGGUCUAGAAUAUGUCCAGUAAGAAAGAAGAGAAAGUUCAGGCUACAACUAAAAGGAUUAAGGCUGCAGCCUUCAGUGCAGCAAAUGGUCUUAGUAGAGCUCAGGCAGAGAGAGCUGCUACAGCUGCAGCCUGAAAUAUUAAUGCAUAUGUAUUGUGAACAAAACUCUUGGAAGCUUUUGCCCCAGUAGCAAGCUCUGAGGCUGAAAAGGGAGGAUUCAAAACCUAUGUGAUAGAGGUCCAAGGAAGUCACGUUUACAGCAAAUUAAAAUAGGAGUCUGGAGUUCAUCGGGUUCAACGUGUUCCUCAUAAAUUUUGUAUUUCUCUAGUUGUUUAUUUAUUCAUUGGAUAUUUUGCAUUUUACUUUUUGCUCUUCUAGGCCAUUAACCAAAGUUUGUUCAAUUGUAUUCUUAAAUGCACGUUGACACUGACUGUUAUUAUGUUUUCACUCAAUUUGUAAAUAUGAUUGAUUGAGUUUAUAUGUCAAUAAAUUCUCCUAGCAAAACUCAAGUAGGCUGUUUCAUA